UCUCGAGGCUGGUGGCCCCCAUGUGCUUCCUGACUAUCUGGUCUCCUUGAGUUCCUCCUAAGUGAUGGGCCUUAGGCCAGAGGACCAAGAAGCUGUUCCACGUAGACGAGGCUCCUUUCAUUCUCACCAGUGUUUUCCUGAUGAGAGUUCAAUGUGCAGUUCACAGGGCGUUCUAGUCUCACGUGAAGCCCCUGUGCAAUCCUGUGUUGGCAUCAGUGACACCAACAAAAGCAGAGAAAAGAGGGGUCCUCAAGAGCCUAUAUCUCUCUAGGAGGGAGAAUUGUCCAUUUUGAUACAAGGAGCUGUGGUCUCAAGCUUGGGCAGGGCACCAACAGAUGUCACACACCCAUGCUGCUGACUGAUGGUGCAGCAACAGGAAGAAUAACACAAAACACAGCAGCUGGAACCAGGAAGGCCCUCCUGCAAGGCCCCUCCAACUCUCUCCACUGAUGGAGCUCAACGCUGUACUCGCCGGAAGGGAUAAACGCUUCAAAAAUCCAGUCUAUUCCGUGGAGCAGAUACUGAAUGGUGAAUUUGGGGCUCAGAGGUAAGCGAGUGAUACCUGGCAUAGGGUGCAUUGAUCACUCAAUAGUUGUACCUGCAAAAAUUAAACCCUUCGUAGAAAUAAAAAAGAACGUACUACUGAGACACACAGCAGCUAGGCUGAAUCUCAAAGCAUAAGGCUGAGUGUAAAACAUCUAACUUCAAAAGGUUACAUUUUUCCAUUUAUAUGACAUUUGCAGGGAGCCAAAACCGAGGCAGAGAAGAGAUCUGUGGUUUCCAGGGGUUAGGGGUGGAGGAAGGUGUGAAAAGGGGACACACAAAAGGAGAGUGCAAGAAAGUCACCUGCCUUCCUUGGUGAUGGUGUGAAUCUAUAUGUGUUAAAAUUCAUACAGUUGUGCACCCCAAAGGCCGAUUUUGUUCUAUGUUAAUUUUAAAAUAAAAAAUUUAAAAGACUACUUUAAUCUAAUAUCAGAACUUUAGUCUCCAGUCCAGUUCAGACUUCUCCUUUUACCCCAGCUUAGGUCCGACCGGCAAUGGGACAGAGAGUGGUCUAUUUUCCCCUCCUGUUCUACUUCCUCCUGUCUGCUUCGGCCUUUUCCUUCGCUGUGUUUAGAGGGAGGAGAAAGGAGAAGGAGGAAAGAGUUUCUUUGACUCAGAUGAUUCUCUUUGAAAUUCUCUCUUUCUGGUGGAACGCCCUUUCUUCUACGUGAUGCCAAACGUCUGGCUCCUUCUGUUUGAGGCAUUCUUGUGGGUUCUUUGCACACCCUCCCCCAACCCCCAGAUCCCACCAGGACAUCCACUGCUCCUGAUGCACCUGACUCAGGUCAUGCCUUCUCUGGAUACCCCUCAUCUCCUGCCCCACGCAGUGAAGCCCCUCAUGGCCAGUUUUUCCACUGUGAUUCACCCACCUCACGGGGAAUCAGAUGCCCACUUUCCCGCCGCUGCACCUACUGUUUCUCCUCUGCUCCAGCCGGUCUCCUACUUUCAAUGAUAUCCUGCUGAGGGUCAGGCACCAGUCUGAUCUUUGAAUUCCAAAGGAAAAAUGAAUUCUCAAGAAUUUUGGGGGGGAGGUGGGAUGAAUUGGGAGAUUAGGAUUGAUAUACGUACACUACUAUGUAUAAAAUAGAGUACUAAUGAGAACCUGCUGUAGAGCACAAGGAACUCUACUCAAUGCUCUGUGGUGACCUAAACGGAAGGAAAUCCCAAAAAGAGGGGUUAUAUGUAUACGCAGAGCUGAUUCACUUUGCUGCACAGCAGAAACUAACACAACACUGUAAAGCAACUGUACUCCAAUAAAAAAUGUUUUUUAAGUUUUUUAAAUUAAAUUUAAUUUUUAAAA